AUUGGGGCCUAAUGCUGUUGGAUUAACGACCUUUAGUCCACCUUGCAUCUAAUAAAUGUAAGGUAAAAGAGGAUAAAUUUCAAGAAAAACUGUAAAGUUAACUUGAAGCGAAGCUUAUUUUUUAAGUAUAUUAAUAUACAAUUAAUAAUAAGAACGUUCAACGACUAGAAGUAUAGUCUUUAUGAUAAUUACCUUCCACGAAAAUCCUCCGUUAAAUAUUUAAACUUAAUAAACAUAAUUACAUAAUAUUUAGUUUAAAGUAAGAUGAUGACAUAGUCUGAACCCUUGUGAAAACAAGGG
rfam:Diplodia corticola strain CBS 112549 scaffold74, whole genome shotgun sequence.